rnacentral:rRNA from 1 species
CAUGGAGGGUGAGAAUCCCGUACGACCAUCAUUGCUCGUGUACGAUACGUUUUCAAAGAGUCAAGUUGUUUGGGAUUGCAGCUUAAAAUGGGAGGUAAAUUUCUCCUAAGGCUAAAUAUUGGCGAGAGACCGAUAGCGAACAAGUACCGUGAGGGAAAGAUGAAAAGCACUUUGAAAAGAGAGUUAAAUAGUACGUGAAAUUGUUGAAAGGGAAACGAUUGAAGCCAGUCGUACCGACGGAGAAUCAACCUUUGGAAUGCGAAUCGAGGUAUUCGAAGAGUUUAAAAGCCUUCGUGUGCUUUCGCAUUCGUGCUUCAUGGGUGCACUUCUUCGUAUGGUAGGUUAACAUCAAUUUUGGACGUUACAGAAUGAUUGGGGGAAUGUAGCUUCGAUUUUUCGAAGUGUUAUAGCCCUUGGUAGAUGUGACGACCGGGAUUGAGGAUUGCAACGAAUGCUUUCGGGCUAUCCGUCUGACCUCUGGUGGUUGCUUUGGGGUCGAAAGCGUGCUUACGACUUUAAAGUUGGCUAUCAAAAGGCUAGAACGUGAUUAAAAUUCGUUAAGGAUGUUGACGUAAUGG